rnacentral:rRNA from 1 species
GUUGAUUAGAUACCCCGGUAGUCCACGCCCUAAACGAUGAAUACUAGACGUUGGGUGUAAAAACUCAGUGUCGCAGCUAACGCAUUAAGUAUUCCACCUGGGGAGUACGAUCGCAAGGUUGAAACUCAAAGGAAUUGACGGGGGCCCGCACAAGCAGUGGAGCAUGUGGUUCAAUUCGAUGCAACGCGAAGAACCUUACCUAGGCUUGAAAAGCAAGCUAAAGCAGAUGAAAGUCUGUGUGCCGCAAGGCGAGCUUGUACAGGUGCUGCAUGGCCGUCGUCAACU